GAAACAGGCAGGAAUUAAUGAGGCACAACUAGCCGCCCAUCCCUGUUACAACAUCUCAAGGCCAUUCACAGUAGUGUCAAGAAGUUCUGUCGUCACACCCGCACCAGUGACUCUCGAAGUGAGUGAAACCAUCUCACAUCCCCUGUGCUUCCGACGAAGACGUGUUGAUGGAGUAAAGG